ACACAGGAGAUGCUCCCCCCUAAAUUUCUCUAAAUUCCAAUUCUAACCCCGUUUGUCUCUCCUCCUCCAGAUGUCAUGGUCUGCCAUGUAGCCAAGCUCUGAAACCAUGCCUCGUAUCAAUGUAGAUUGGCAGUCGCCUCAAUCUCUUGCUCUCUUACCCUGUAUCUCCAUUUUUAGUCUCGGCUCAUGCAGAGUGUGAAAGCUUCAAUGGCUGAAAGGCUCUGGGUUCUAUGUUUUUGAAGCUAUCAAUCAGGACACUGGGUGCUGUUCUCAG
rnacentral:lncRNA from 1 species